CCUACGGGCGACAGCAGUGAGGAAUAUUGGUCAAUGGACGAGAGUCUGAACCAGCCAAGUAGCGUGAAGGAUGACUGCCCUAUGGGUUGUAAACUUCUUUUAUAUGGGAAUAACAUGUUCCACGUGUGGGAUUUUGUAUGUACCAUAUGAAUAAGGAUCGGCUAACUCCGUGCCAGCAGCCGCGGUAAUACGGAGGAUCCGAGCGUUAUCCGGAUUUAUUGGGUUUAAAGGGAGCGUAGGUGGAUUGUUAAGUCAGUUGUGAAAGUUUGCGGCUCAACCGUAAAAUUGCAGUUGAAACUGGCAGUCUUGAGUACAGUAGAGGUGGGCGGAAUUCGUGGUGUAGCGGUGAAAUGCUUAGAUAUCACGAAGAACUCCGAUUGCGAAGGCAGUUCACUGGACUGCAACUGACACUGAGGCUCGAAAGUGUGGGUAUCAAACAGGAUUAGAUACCCUUGUAGUC
rnacentral:rRNA from 1 species